UACGUAGGGUGCGAGCGUUAAUCGGAAUUACUGGGCGUAAAGCGUGCGCAGGCGGUUAUUUAAGUCAGGUGUGAAAGCCCUGGGCUUAACCUAGGAAUUGCGCUUGUGACUGGCGUGCUGGAGUGUGGCAGAGGGAGGUGGAAUUCCACGUGUAGCAGUGAAAUGCGUAGAGAUGUGGAGGAACACCGAUGGCGAAGGCAGCCUCCUGGGCCAGCACUGACGCUCAUGCACGAAAGCGUGGGGAGCAAACAGG
rnacentral:rRNA from 1 species